CGCGGGAUAGAGCAGUUGGUAGCUCGUCGGGCUCAUAACCCGGAGGUCGGAGGUUCGAGUCCUCCUCCCGCUA
rnacentral:tRNA from 1 species